UACAGAGACUGCAAGCGUUAUUCGGAUUCACUGGGCGUAAAGGGUGCGCAGGCGGCCGUGUGUGUCAGAUGUGAAAUCCCGGGGCUUAACCCCGGAACUGCGUCUGAAACUACACGGCUAGAGCAUUGGAGAGGGAAGUGGAAUUCAUGGUGUAGCAGUGAAAUGCGUAGAUAUCAUGAGGAACACCAGAGGCGAAGGCGACUUCCUGGACAAUUGCUGACGCUCAGGCACGAAAGCGUGGGUAGCCAAAGGG
rnacentral:rRNA from 1 species